rnacentral:lncRNA from 1 species
GAUGCCUCAGAGGUUAUACUGAGAACUUGUUUGAUCCCCAGCCAAUGUUUACUUUCAGAUUAUAAUGAGCAGUUAGUGAAGUACUCACCAUCUGUUCAGGAGAAAAGAAAAAUCUUCUUUGUCUGAGUGGACAAGUGGGAAAAGCAUUCAGAGAACUGAUUAUUAGUUCAAGACACUUGUAUUGCCUAUGAACAAGAGAAUGAAUUUUGAAGAACUGUUCAUCUUUCUGAAGGAAGAACUAAAUCAAAUGCUGAUCAGUAUUGCUCAGUGAGGGGACCUCUCUGGAGUCUGAAGUCCUUCCUGGAAUAUGGUCCAACCAUCAGUUAUUGGUUACUUCUGAAAACUUCAUGCAGCUUAACUUUGGAGGGAAAAGAAUAAAAGACUAUCUGAGAAACAGAGCGAGCUGGGAGCUGGGAUCAUCUGUUUUUUAAAUAUUUGCAUGUGGAUGUUACUUGUGAAGGGAUUUGUUACUGAGCACAUUGUGCUGAUUUCUACCGAGGUGUUGAACUAGGCAGAGGAUUUACUCCUAAAUAAGGUAAGAUUUGUGAAUUAUGAUUUAUAUUGGCGUAUUUUAACCUUUUUGAUUUAGAACACAGGAACUAUAUGUUGUUUUAUUAUAAAUCUUGAAAUAUUGUUUAGUUUGUACUACUGUCAGCUUAAAAAGUGGUAACGGUUAAAUGUAUAGCGUUAUGCAAUUAGUUUACACAUUAAGUCACAGCACAAUAUAAUAAUCAUGCAUCUAGCAUUUCCUCUUUCAAGAAAUAAUGUUUCAG